rnacentral:rRNA from 1 species
GAUGAACGCUGGCGGCGUGCCUAAUACAUGCAAGUCGAGCGAACAGAUAAGGAGCUUGCUCCUUUGACGUUAGCGGCGGACGGGUGAGUAACACGUGGGUAACCUACCUAUAAGACUGGAAUAACUCCGGGAAACCGGGGCUAAUGCCGGAUAACAUUUAGAACCGCAUGGUUCUAAAGUGAAAGAUGGUUUUACUAUCACUUAUAGAUGGACCCGCGCCGUAUUAGCUAGUUGGUAAGGUAACGGCUUACCAAGGCAACGAUACGUAGCCGACCUGAGAGGGUGAUCGGCCACCCUGGAACUGAGACACGGUCCAGACUCCUACGGGAGGCAGCAGUAGGGAAUCUUCCGCAAUGGGCGAAAGCCUGACGGAGCAACGCCGCGUGAGUGAUGAAGGUCUUCGGAUCGUAAAACUCUGUUAUUAGGGAAGAACAAAUGUGUAAGUAACUGUGCACGUCUUGACGGUACCUAAUCAGAAAGCCACGGCUAACUACGUG